AACGAACACUGGCGGCAUGCCUAACACAUGCAAGUCGAACGAGACCUUCGGGUCUAGUGGCGCACGGGUGCGUAACACGUGGGAAUCUGCCCUUUGCUUCGGAAUAACAGUUAGAAAUGACUGCUAAUACCGGAUGAUGUCGAAAGACCAAAGAUUUAUCGGCAAAGGAUGAGCCCGCGUAGGAUUAGGUAGUUGGUGGGGUAAAGGCCUACCAAGCCGACGAUCCUUAGCUGGUCUGAGAGGAUGAUCAGCCACACUGGGACUGAGACACGGCCCAGACUCCUACGGGAGGCAGCAGUGGGGAAUAUUGGACAAUGGGCGAAAGCCUGAUCCAGCAAUGCCGCGUGAGUGAUGAAGGCCUUAGGGUUGUAAAGCUCUUUUACCAGGGAUGAUAAUGACAGUACCUGGAGAAUAAGCUCCGGCUAACUCCGUG
rnacentral:rRNA from 1 species